rnacentral:rRNA from 1 species
AGAGUUUGAUCCUGGCUCAGAGUGAACGCUGGCGGCAGGCCUAAUACAUGCAAGUCGAACGGCAGCACAGCAGAGCUUGCUCUGUGGGUGGCGAGUGGCGGACGGGUGAGGAAUACAUGGGAAUCUGCCCAGUCGUGGGGGAUAACGUAUGGAAACGUACGCUAAUACCGCAUGCGCCCUUUGGGGGAAAGCCGGGGACCUUCGGGCCUGGCGCGAUUGGAUGAGCCCAUGUUCGAUUAGCUAGUUGGCGGGGUAAAGGCCCACCAAGGCGACGAUCGAUAGCUGGUCUGAGAGGAUGAUCAGCCACACUGGGACUGAGACACGGCCCAGACUCCUACGGGAGGCAGCAGUAGGGAAUAUUGGACAAUGGGCGCAAGCCUGAUCCAGCCAUGCCGCGUGAGUGAAGAAGGCCCU